GAUGAACGCUGGCGGCGUGCCUAAUACAUGCAAGUCGAGCGAACAGACGAGGAGCUUGCUCCUCUGACGUUAGCGGCGGACGGGCGAGUAACACGUGGAUAACCUACCUAUAAGACUGGGAUAACUUCGGGAAACCGGAGCUAAUACCGGAUAAUAUAUUGAACCGCAUGGUUCAAUAGUGAAAGACGGUUUUGCUGUCACUUAUAGAUGGAUCCGCGCCGCAUUAGCUAGUUGGUAAGGUAACGGCUUACCAAGGAAACGAUGCGUAGCCGACCUGAGAGGGUGAUCGGCCACACUGGAACUGAGACACGGUCCAGACUCCUACGGGAGGCAGCAGUAGGGAAUCUUCCGCAAUGGGCGAAAGCCUGACGGAGCAACGCCGCGUGAGUGAUGAAGGUCUUCGGAUCGUAAAACUCUGUUAUUAGGGAAGAACAAAUGUGUAAGUAACUAUGCACGUCUUGACGGUACCUAAUCAGAAAGCCACGGCUAACUACGUG
rnacentral:rRNA from 1 species